rnacentral:misc_RNA from 1 species
AAGGAUCAUUAGAAACGUCCUGGUACGGGCCCCACCCUUAGAAAGGCUUUUGUUUAAAGCUGGUGUGGCUUAGUUCUCUCUCCAACUCUAUUGUUGACCAUUACCUCAGUUGCUUCCACGGCUUGCUGUCAUGCCUGCUGUGGAUGGCCUACAAUCAAAACCUUUGCUACAAGUUACGUUUUCUGUCUGAAUCAAUAGCUAUAAUAGUCUUAAAACUUUCAACAACGGAUCUCUUGGCUCCU